rnacentral:rRNA from 1 species
UACGUAGGGUGCAAGCGUUGUCCGGAAUUAUUGGGCGUAAAGAGCUCGUAGGCGGUUUGUCGCGUCUGCUGUGAAAACUCGGGGCUUAACCCCGGGCCUGCAGUGGGUACGGGCAGACUAGAGUGCGGUAGGGGAGACUGGAAUUCCUGGUGUAGCGGUGAAAUGCGCAGAUAUCAGGAGGAACACCAAUAGCGAAGGCAGCUCGCUGGGACGGUACUGACGCUGAGGAGCGAAAGCGUGGGGAGCGAACAGG